CCUACGGGAGGCAGCAGUCGAGAAUCAUUCACAAUGGGCAAAAGCCUGAUGGUGUGACGCCGCGUGGAGGAUGACGGUCUUCGGAUUGUAAACUCCUGUCAUUUGAGAACAAGUGUUACUCAGUAACUACGGGUGACUUGAUAGUAUCAGAAGAGGAAGAAGCGGCUAACUCUGUGCCAGCAGCCGCGGUAAU
rnacentral:rRNA from 1 species